GCAUCGGUGGUCCAAUGGUUAAGAUCCGACAUUCCCAUAAUCCACCGCUGUGGAAACGGACGAUAAGUGUCAAACAAGCUAGACAUGUCGAGACCCGGGUUCGAUUCCCGGCCGAUGCA
rfam:Paracoccidioides sp. &apos;lutzii&apos; Pb01 unplaced genomic scaffold supercont2.1, whole genome shotgun sequence.